CAAGUUUUAGAUGAGAUGAAAUGUUUUAUUUGAUUAAGGAGCACCUAUCUGACUUCUGCUAAUAUUUAGUACUUGGUAUUAUCUAAAUCGUUGUUGACUAAAUGAUAAGAUAAAAUUUUAGAAGAGCUAUUGCUUGAAAAGAUCUGCCUCGUAUUCCUCUAAUUCAUCGGUAUCAGAAUCAAUUUCAAAAUCUACAUAUAUACUUCCUCUGGAGACUUUACACACCAUUUGAGCUAAGUCUGUGAAGGUAUAAGAAGAUACUGUUUGCUGGUUUGCCGCCUGGUGUUUUGCUCGUAAUGCACGGGCAUUUUCUCUAUCUGCAUUAAAACGUGGUAAAUUCGGAACUUUGACGGGCGUUGCGAAAGGAUUCCAUCGUUUCCACAAUAACCACCAACCGGAUAAAGAAUCUCCAUAAUUUGUUAAAUCCGUAUCAUCUUGUGAUCCAACGUCAAUGGCCAAAAUAUGAUGUGCUCC